CGCUCCACCUACUAGCCUCCGUCAGACGAGGUUCAGCUGCUGGCGGUGUGGUGUCGCAUCUGCUGUCUUAAUUACCUGCCUGUAAAAGAAACUGCACCUGAGGGAGCCUGUGUUGAAGUGAAGGUACAGAGGCUCACCCAGGGAUUGUAAAGUGGAAGUGGCAACCCUAGUUCAGUAACAGCGACCAGCUGUCAUGCGGGUGAGACCAGCUGUCAUGUGGGUGAGAGUCGCUAAGUUCCACUUGCACGCUCCCCCACUGAACUCUGCCUGCACGGCGCAGUAGAGCGGGGCGGACGCACCACCAUCUAUUAUAUAAUUGCAGAAGCGAACAAGUCAGCCCAUCCUGCACGCCUCCAACAGGCAUCCGUGCCUGGGUGAAGCAGAGUAGUCGAGUGAGACUGGCUCGUCGGUGGCAUCAGCCACCGCAGGAGCAACUCUACCAAGGGUGUGUACACCAGCAGGUGAUGGGGCGCCGUUUUCACCAUGGGAACCACAACCAACACUGCUGAGCCAGGUCAGGCUUGUGAAGGUUCCAUCCAAUAGUACAUGUAUAAAACUUAAAACUUGAACAGGG